GGUGCGUCACCACUGCCCGUCAACCCCUAUCAUCCUAGUGGGUACUAAGCUGGAUCUGAGGGAUGAGAAGGAGACCAUCGAGAAGCUCAAAGAGAAGAAACUGGCCCCCAUCACCUACCCACAAGGCCUAGCGCUGGCCAAGGACGUUGACUCUGUGAAGUACUUGGAGUGUUCUGCUCUGACCCAGCGUGGCCUGAAGACAGUGUUUGACGAGGCUAUCAGGGCAGUACUCUGCCCACAGCCAACCAAGGUCGGGAAGAAGAAAUGUCUACUGCUCUAACAGAUGCAGCUCAGAGUGAAAACGGACAGUGAACAAACCAGAGAGCCAGAUGUUAACUCAAAAAGGCCUUUUAGCUUUUCUGUGCUAGAAGAAAAAACAUUGACUUAUGAAAGCCUACGUGGUUAAAUAAAUAUAAAAUAUUAUAAUUAAGUCAUGUUAAAUCUAUUACAAUGGUUUCUGAUGUGUGCUUGUUUGGUACUGGUAUAUAGUGUAUGAUAUCUGUGUUUCUGUCAAAUGAAUAAAUUGUAUAAUAUUUGCAGAAUAUUCAUAAUCUGAACAAGACAAUACUGUAAUAUUUUCCCCUCUACUGUGAAGGUGAUAUUUGACCUUGAUGUAUGUGUGUCCCAAAUGGCACCCUAAUCCCUAAGUGCACCAUUAGACACUUGUAUUUUCA